UCAUGCUUGUAAUAUCUGAUGGGAAGGAAUUUCAUUAAACUCACUCUUACCUUUUAAUUUGUUAGAUUGGUGGAGGUUUGGGUGAUUAUGAGGAUCACUUAGAAGAUGAAUAUGUAGAUGAGGAGGAGGAUGGAUAUGAGGAUGAACAAGAUGAAAUAGAAGAAGCAGCAUUAUCUGAAGAAGCUUUGAAAGUGCUGAGCUAUCGGCAAAAACUGAAAGAACAACUCAGAUCCAAGCUGAGGCAGGAAAAUGCCAAAAAAGGUCAUGGUUUCUUCUGAUGGACAAAUUGAUGGAAUGAGUGACCCUCAUUCCUAGACCCGGGUUAGACCUUAAAGCUUGAAUGUAUGCUUUCUUUUGGUUCUUGUAUAAGCUGGCUGGAAGAUGUGUAUCUUAGUAAACUGUGAUGGUAGCAGGCUGAAACGAAAGCACAGAUACUGAAGAACAUUAGAGAUUACUCUUUUUUAUUGUCAGCUGACGCAGAGAUUCCAAAACCCGCCAUAGGUACUAAAACAGAACAGGGAAAUAACCCAUCCAGCCAGCCAGGCCGAAUCGAAUACAAUUCGGAGAAAACAAGAAGCCGCUCAAGAAUAAACGAGUGUCUAAUACGUGCACUGCUCCUCAGAAGUUAAAAUAUGGUGUACGGUGCGAGCCCACUCAACAGCCAUCGCUUAUGUCUGGCAUUGCACCUGUUCGACCUGCUAUUUCCAAAAACUUGCCAUCUGAAAAGCCAUUAUCUUUGGCUAAUAAAAGGGAUCCAGUUUGUUUGAUGAAAAAGUUGAGUGUUGGUCCUGUGGGAGACAAAGUACCUUCUGCUCCAAAGAAUUUUAUGUCUAAUGGUCAAAGACCUUCAUUAAAGCCGCAGGCUUCUUGUAAUAGUAAUGUUUCAGAGCAUAAUAGAGACCCCAAAAACAGAAGCGAGGGCAAUGUACUGAAGAAAGGAAAAGAGGAGGUUUUUAAACUGCAAGUGAUAGCUUUUAUAAACGACUGGUUACUUCUUGUUGUAAAUAUCUUGGUUAUUUGAAAUUUAAAAAUUUGUUCUCACAAGUGCUAAUUUAUUCUUAUCAGGACAACCUUUUCAAACAAAGUUCUGUUCAGGCCAAUAUACAGAAAAAGCUAAUUAAGAAGCAAGAGUCUGAUAAAAGUAUUCAUUUGUCUUCUAAUAGUGCUAACAAAAACCACCAUAAGAAAGUACAAAAGGCUGGAGAAGCACUUUCAGAUGAUGAGUGUGAUUAUAGAUCCAAUAUUCGGAACAUGUUUGGGGUAAAGUUGCGUACAUUACACCCCACGUAGGGUGGAGUGGCUUCUGAUUAGAGUACUGGCGUGCUGUUGGCUUAGGUAUAGCAGUUUGAUUGUAUUUUUCGUAUCACGGAAAACGUAUUUUCUAGUUUCUCAAUAAAU